AUUCCUUCCAAAUUCCAACUCUGUCCUUUCCUGAACUCUGUUUCCCCACACAGACCCUGCACUUAACCCUUCCUUAUUUCCUCAGCCGGGGACCUGGCUGGGACCUGGAUUUCCUCUCAUCACUUGCCUCUGCAGUCAGGAGUCCAAGCUCAACAGCCUUGGGCUUUAGAGACUCCCAUAGUUCCACAAAGGCUGAGCUGCCCUGAGUCCUAGAGCCCAUCCUCUCUCUGGGGUGAGGUUGCUAUUCUCUGAUCCUAAUUUCAAUGUCAGGCUCAGGUGAGGCUUGGAAUCCUUGGUGUGUAUAUGUGAUGUUUGUGUAAGAUGAGGAUACUAGGGGUCGGGAAAAGCUGUUAUACAGUAGUUCAUGUGCUUUUUUCUGCCUGGGGAGGUGACAGGCACUAAGGCAGGCAGUGCAGGGCCUGCUAGAAGAGCGAGAGCAGCAGAAGUACCAGAUCAGUGUCCUGGAAGGUAUCUGGCCAGUUAUUUUCUUCAUAUACACAGCUUCAUAUGUAU
rnacentral:lncRNA from 1 species